rnacentral:rRNA from 1 species
GACUGAGUGGCGGACGGGUGAGUAACGCGUGGGUAACCUGCCUCAUACAGGGGGAUAACAGUUGGAAACGACUGCUAAUACCGCAUAAGCGCACAGGAUUGCAUGAUCCGGUGUGAAAAACUCCGGUGGUAUGAGAUGGACCCGCGUCUGAUUAGCCAGUUGGCAGGGUAACGGCCUACCAAAGCGACGAUCAGUAGCCGACCUGAGAGGGUGACCGGCCACAUUGGGACUGAGACACGGCCCAAACUCC